UUUUUUUGGGGGAGGGCGUAAGAAGUUGGUGGUGGUGGUUUUGUUGCGACUUAAAUGGUGUUGAGAAAAUAUUAAACGCGUAGACGCAUCCCUCAUCACAGAGCAUGUGAUGGGUUUAACACGCUAAACUAAUAAUCUUGUAUGAAAAAGCGAGGAGGCUGAAGAAGAAGAAGAAUAAAACCCCCUCAAACACUCAGAAUAUUCUUUACUGCAAAAGAGCACUUCUGGAUGCGUUGCUUUAAAUCUCAUUCUCUUUUUCUCUCAAAAAUGACUGUUUAACAUAAGAAAAAAGGCUACUUGACACAAAGCUUUUGUUAUCCAGUUGAUCAGCAACGUGCUUUAGAUACUUGUAAGGGGAAAAAAGCCCCACAACAGACAUUGAUUUUAGAAAAUCAAUAACCAACAUUUAAUAAAAAGAACAGAGGAAACACAAGAGAGGAGAGGGAAACAUUACGUGUAAUUUUAAUGUCUACUAAAUUACCCAGAGAUGAGGGGAAGGGGAGGUCUCCUCUGUGAGGACCACCUUAAAUAAUGACAGACACAAGAGUAAAGGGUGGUGGUGGAGGGGGAGAGACUUUAAAAAAAGAUAACAAGGAACGGAUCCUUGGGAAGCUGCUCGGAAUAUAUUAUUUUAGUUGGGGUUUUUUU